GACGAACGCUGGCGGCGUGCUUAACACAUGCAAGUCGAACGGCAAGGCCCUGCUUUUGUGGGGUGCUCGAGUGGCGAACGGGUGCGUAACACGUGAGUAACCUGCCCUUGACUUUGGGAUAACUUCAGGAAACUGGGGCUAAUACCGGAUAGGAGCUCCUGCUGCAUGGUGGGGGUUGGAAAGUUUCGGCGGUUGGGGAUGGACUCGCGGCUUAUCAGCUUGUUGGUGGGGUAGUGGCUUACCAAGGCUUUGACGGGUAGCCGGCCUGGGAGGGUGACCGGCCACAUUGGGACUAAGAUACGGCCCAGACUCCUACGGGAGGCAGAAGUGGGGAAUAUUGCACAAUGGGCGGAAGCCUGAUGCAGCAGCGCCGCGUGCGGGAUGACGGCCUUCGGGUUGUAAACCGCUUUCGCCUGUGACGAAGCGUGAGUGACGGUAAUGGAUAAAGAAGCACCGGCUAACUACGUG
rnacentral:rRNA from 1 species